CCACUGAUGACCGGCAGAAGGAACUGGCACCCCCCCCCCCCUGCGCAAACAGGCUGUUGUCUGCUGCUGGACACUGGUGCGGGGCCCGUGUGGGCGUGUGCUGUGGCCAUGGGGAGAUCAUCCGCCUCGAAGGCCAUGCUCGUCAAACUCAAGAUCCACUUUACUCUGGCAGACCCAAAGCACCCAGAAGCAAACUAGCCUGCCAACUUGGUG